rnacentral:misc_RNA from 1 species
CCGAGUGCGGGCCCUUUAGGCCCAACCUCCCACCCGUGUCUAUCAUACCUGGUUGCUUCGGCGGGCCCGCCGCUAUGGCUGCGCUAGGGGACUAACUCCCUCCUAGGCUCGCGCCCGCCGAAGACCCCCUCUGAACGCUGUCUGAAGGUUGCAGUCUGAGUGGUUUAGUUAAAAUUAGUUA